rnacentral:lncRNA from 1 species
AUUCCUAUUCAUCCUAUUACUAAGAAUAUGGAAUUCCUGUGUUUGAUUUGCACGGUAAUAUUAAUUAGCCAUGUUAUUUAAUAUUACAAAAAAUAUACAAUUUAUUUAUUUAUUUAUUUAAUUAAUUUUAGAUAAUGUUACAAAAAAUUUCAACAUAUUUUUAGAAAAAAUGAAGAGAGUAUAAGUUUGAGAGAGAGAGCAUAAUUAAAAAAAUAGAAAGAAAAAUAUAGUCGAAACUAGAGGAAGUGAGAGAGUUGAAAUUUUAGAAAGAGAGAGAGAGAGAGAAAAAGCUUAGUUUAGAGAGAGAAAAAAGUUGAAUUUUAGAGAGAAAAAUAAAUUGAGAGAGAGAUAUAAGGUUAGAGUGUAAAGAAAAAUAAUAUCAAUUAGCCGGCAGGUAAGAAGAAAGAAAGAGAUUAGACAUAUUAUGAUUACCCCAAUUCAUUAAUAUGAGGAUACCCACCCUCCCUCAAAGGAAUGAGAUUAGUACUUUGGGGUGAAUCUUAUUCCCAAGUGAAUCCAAUAUUACCAACUAGAUUACUUAGUGCGUUUAGUCAAACACCGUCAAUUUUUUUAUUCCCAUUGGAUUAGUAGGAAUCUUUAAAAGAUAGCGCGAACUAAACGCACCCUAAAUGUAAUCUGAUUUAGAUUCUGAACUGUAAGUUGACCAUAGGAGAUAACAACUAAUUACUCUAAACAGUAGUGGUUUAGACGUACGUUUAGAUCUGGCUAAGAUAAG